rnacentral:rRNA from 1 species
CAGUAGCCGCGGGAAUACGAACCGUGCGAACGUUAUUCGGAAUUACUGGGCUUAAAGCGCGUGUAGGCGGGCCGGCACGUCCGACGCUGAAAUCCCCCGGCUCAACCGGGGAAGUGGCGGGGAUACGACCGGCCUCGAGGGGGGUAGGGGGACCUGGAACUUCCGGUGGAGCGGUGAAAUGCGUUGAGAUCGGAAGGAACGCCCGUGGCGAAAGCGAGGUCCUGGACCCUUUCUGACGCUGAGACGCGAAAGCCAGGGGAGCGAACGGGAUUAGAGACCCCCGUAGUCCCUGUCUCUUAUU